UGCGCUGUGGCUUAGUUGGUUAAAGUUACUGUCUAGUAAACAGGAGAUCCUAAAUUCGAAUCUUUGCAGCGCCU
rnacentral:tRNA from 1 species